rnacentral:rRNA from 1 species
UACGAAGGGUGCAAGCGUUACUCGGAAUUACUGGGCGUAAAGCGUGUGUAGGCGGCCGCGUAAGUCGGAUGUGAAAGCCCUGGGCUCAACCCAGGAAGUGCACUCGAUACUGCGUGGCUUGAGUACUGGAGAGGUUGGUGGAAUUCUCGGUGUAGAGGUGAAAUUCGUAGAUAUCGAGAGGAACACCGGUGGCGAAGGCGGCCAACUGGACAGAUACUGACGCUGAGACACGAAAGCGUGGGGAGCAAACAGG